ACCCUCGUCUCUGCCAGUCGAGCUUGCCUCACCGGGCAAGGUGAGCGCCAAAGGAGGCCGGGCAGCGGGCGCGAGGGGUGUUCCGACUUUGGAAGGGAGGCGGGAUCUGAUCCAGAACGAGUAAUGCGGCCUGGCGCCCAUCCACAGAAACGAGCGGACCCCCGGGACUCGCGGUGCAGGCCUGCGCAUGCGCAGUCCCCACUAUGCGGAUCACGCAGAAGACCGAGGUAGAAGGAGUUGACCCCCCGGGACUCCCGAGGCCGUCCAGUUCUCUCUCCAGAGGAACGGGCAAUUGACCUAGGACUCGAGGCCGGCUUUGUUUGGAAGUGGCGGCUGGCAGACGAAUGGGUUUAUUACAGCAUCUGUUUUCAGGGAGGAAGGCCUAUGCCACUGGACGCAGGAGGAGGCAUGCAUAGACAAAGCGGGAUCUGGACCAGGAAAACCCCUGCCGUGUUUAUAAGUUCUUGGAGGCAUUUCCAUUGUUCAAAGUGAUUUACAACGACGACCAUCACCACCCAUCGACAAAUUGCUAAUAAUAUAAUUUCGGUCGGGGAGGGUGUAGAAUAAAUGUUAUAAAAUAAAAUAAAUAAAAACUAAAACAAACUAAUAAAAAGAUGCUCCAAUCUAGCCCAA